UGGGGAAUUUUGGACAAUGGGGGAAACACUGAUCCAGCCAUCCCGCGUGUGCGAUGAAGGCCUUCGGGUUGUAAAGCACUUUUGGCAGGAAAGAAACGUCAUGGGUUAAUACCCCGUGAAACUGACGGUACCUGCAGAAUAAGCACCGGCUAACUACGUGCCAGCAGCCGCGGUAAUACGUAGGGUGCAAGCGUUAAUCGGAAUUACUGGGCGUAAAGCGUGCGCAGGCGGUUCGGAAAGAAAGAUGUGAAAUCCCAGAGCUCAACUUUGGAACUGCAUUUUUAACUACCGGGCUAGAGUGUGUCAGAGGGAGGUGGAAUUCCGCGUGUAGCAGUGAAAUGCGUAGAUAUGCGGAGGAACACCGAUGGCGAAGGCAGCCUCCUGGGAUAACACUGACGCUCAUGCACGAAAGCGUGGGGAGCAAAC
rnacentral:rRNA from 1 species